GACGAACGCUGGCGGCGUGCUUAACACAUGCAAGUCGACAUGAGGGGCGAACGGGUGUGUAAUACGUGGGUAACCUGCCCUCCGUUGUGGGAUAAGCCUCGGAAACGGCGCCUACUCCCGACUAAAUGGGCAGGUGCUCGCGGCCCAGCAGCUUGUUGGUGGUGUGAUGGCCUAACAAGGCGGUGACGGGUAGCCGGCCUGAGAGGGGUACCGGCAACGUUGGGACUGUGAUACCGCCCAGACGCCUACGAGAGGCAGCAGUGGGGGAUAUUGCAGAAUGGGCGAGAGCCUGAUGCCGCGACGCCGCGUGGGGGAUGAGGGCUUUCGGGUUGUUAACCUCUGUCGCUAGCGAAGGGGUAGGUGGAGAAUAAGCGCCGGCUAACUACGUGCCAGCAGCCGCGGUAAUUC
rnacentral:rRNA from 1 species